GACGAACGCUGGCGGCGUGCUUAACACAUGCAAGUCGAACGGAAAGGCCUGCUUUCCCUUGUGGAUUGCGGGUACUCGAGUGGCGAACGGGUGAGUAACACGUGAGUGAUCUGCCCCCAACUUGGGUAUAAGCCUGGGAAACUGGGUCUAAUUCCCGAUAGGACUGCAGGGUGGUGCCUGUGGUGGAAAACGAUUUUCUAGUGGUUGGGGAUGAGCUCGCGGCCUAUCAGCUUGUUGGUGGGGUAAUGGCCUACCAAGGCGGCGACGGGUAGCCGGCCUGAGAGGGUGGACGGCCACAUUGGGACUGAGAUACGGCCCAGACUCCUACGGGAGGCAGCAGUGGGGAAUAAUGCACGAUGGGCGGAAGCCUGAUGCAGCGACGCCGCGUGGGGGAUGACGGCCUUCGGGUGGUAAACUCCUUUCGACCGCGAGGAAGCCACCUGGUUGGAAGGGUGGUGACGGUAGUGGUAGAAGAAGCACCGGCUAACUACGUG
rnacentral:rRNA from 1 species